rnacentral:snoRNA from 1 species
AGGUCAUUUCAAAGAGGGCUUAUGGGAUUGAAGCCAGGAGCUCUUAACGCUGUGACCAGAGAUUGAAGUUCUCCAUAGGAUGACAUAGUCACUCCGUAGUGACUUGUUUUUUCCUGAGAGAUACAAGA